GCCGCGGUAAUUCCAGCUCCAAUAGCGUAUAUUAACGUUGUUGCAGUUAAAAAGCUCGUAGUUGAAGUGUGGGUGGUGCUGUCUGAAUGACUUCGGUUAGUCAGAUGAUCACUACCCCCUUCCAGUAUCCAAUAGUGGGUAUUCAGUUACUUACUAUUGUGUGUUGGUCAUUUACUGUGAGAAAAUUAGAGUGUUCAAAGCAGGCGUUUGCUUGAAUAGAUUAGCAUGGAAUAAUAAUUGAAGGCUUUCGUGUUCGAUUUGAUUGGUUUGUUCAUGGAAGCAAGGUUAAAAGGAACAGUUGGGGGUAUUCAUAUUCACUAGUUAGAGGUGAAAUUCUCGGAUUUAUGGAAGAUGAACAAGUGCGAAAGCAUUUACCAAGGAUGUUUUCAUUAAUCAAGAGCGAAAG
rnacentral:rRNA from 1 species